rnacentral:snRNA from 1 species
UUGCUUCGGCAGCACAUAUACUAAAAUUGGAACGAUACAGAGAAGAUUAGCAUGGCCCCUGCGCAAGUAAAAAUAAAAAAGUAAUGCAGCUAUUUUGGCAUGAUUGCUUUUUU